rnacentral:lncRNA from 1 species
UAAAUUUUAUGUCCUGAACCUCUGCAAUGUGCUGCAGGAGUGCACGUCUCCUGACUUAUGGGAUCUAGGAAUUAUCGUGAACACAGGGAGUCACAAGUAGCUAAUCCACUUUUCACAGCAUCCGUCUGGUGAGAGAGUAUCCUUCCUGUAAUCAAGACCGAGAGCUUAGUUUAGGUUUUAUUGCAUCUGUGUGAUAUCCAAUUUCCACGUUGCACUUGAAUUUUAUGAGGAAAGACUUUAGUCUAAAAUACUCAGUCCUCUGGAAUUGACCAGUUUUACUUUCAGG